UUCGAAAUCACUCUAUUUUAUUUUGUACAUUUUGCUCGUUCGAUUUUCACGAAACUUAGUCUACGAGAUAAUUUGAUGAUGUUAUAUUCAAAUCUCGUUGAGGUCAAGAAAACAAAAUCCAAAAUGAUCAAUCCAAUAGAAUACACAUAAACUGAAUUUUUUAAAAAUAAUUUUAUUUUCAUAAAAACUUAAUUUUAGAACAUUUUUAGUACUGCUACUAAAUAACAUUAAGUUUUGUUUCGUUAGAAAUUCUGUAAGCGUAUCAACACUUCCAAACUCUAAUUAUGAAUCCUAUGGCACAAGUUUAAAUCUUAACAUUUUCAGAUUACAUUCUAAUUCGAACGAUUUCAAGACCCUCUUAAAACCAAGUUUUAUAAUAAUACUCGGAUUAUUUCUUAAGAAUUUCGUCCGUAUUGGAUUCUGAAUUUUAGAUUAUUUCUGAUGUGAAAAUCAGCGAUCUCGAAAAUUUUCAGAAAAAAACACAAGACCUUUCCGUCAAUUAUUUAAUUAAAAUGCCCUGUCCUCAAAGGAUUAACAACUUAAUAAAAAGUUGACGAUAACGCGGUGCACGCUAGCAGUUUAUUCAAAAUUAUUGGAUCCCGGUGACACAAGCGUGCUUUUAUUUUUACAUUUCACUCCUUCGCUUUGUUCCGCAUUUUUCAAUACUCGCGCGCGCGCGAGCGAGCGCUCGAAAUGACGCGCUGCAUUCAGUUGGUAUUCACGAAACGCUGCCGGUCAAUUUUCGCCCAACGCUUUCCCACGAACGGGAACCGAUUAAACAGCGUGUGUGUAACGUAGUAAGUAAUUAAUGCCCAAUAAAGUUAAUGCGAUCGUGGAAUACUAUUCUCUCCUAAGCACUCCGCGAGUGCGAAGUUGUCGCCGCGCCACGGAAUUGUAAGUAGCGUCCACCCACUCGCUGUAACACGGGCAGCGCGCGCGGUACGCGCGACCUUAACCUUACUCGACCUCAACCGUGUCGCAUCGUGUCGUCGCCGCGCUACGCGUGGCUACGAAAAUAAACGACGGGGGUGUGUGCCGAAUCGUCGUCCGGCUCCUCGGGCAAUAAUCGGUCACUCGUCCUGUUGUCGGUGCAAUGUAAUCUCGACACCUCGCGUCGUUCGUUCGUCUCGUAAUUCCGCGAGCGUCCAAAGGGCGACUCUAGCAUACGUAAAGUGCCGAAUAUUGUAGAAUGUAGAUAUAUCUCGUGUGGUAUGCGAUAACGACGGUUAAUUCCUUCCUCGUUUUCGAGAAUACGUCGAUCGUGUGGAGUACGCGAUCGGGACUCAUGCAUGUACACGUCUUUCUUGUGUUUCAUAACCUCCGAGAACGUACGGUAUACAGUGAGCCUACGGAAUAUUCGUACGGAGAAAUAUUUUUUAAAAUCUUGUUUUUAUAGAGCAAACGUUAGAUACUCGGCAAUAUAUUAAUAACUCGAUAGAGAAAGAGCAGGAGAAUCGUAUACAUAUUUUUACGCGUACUUGUUAACCUUAAAAUGCUGAUGCUAUUGAAUAAUAUGCAUUAUAUACAGUGUUAGUAUUGACACGUAAAUUUUAACUUAAAAUUCCGACUUAAAAUCUGUUGACGUAAAACUUGAAUAUAGCUUGGCAUAUCUUAGCGAUCAGAAACGGUGCUUAUUACACAGUUUUGGAAAAUUUGUUAAAUUAAAUUUAAUACAGCUGCACGCCCUCCACUCAAAUUUUUCUUAAUUGAAUGUAAGACGAAUAUGUUAAAGAAAAAGUAAAUAUUGAUACAAUGUAGGAACAGAUUGUAAAUAUAGGGUUAAAAAAAGUCUACGAAUACUUCGUAAACAUACACACGGAGAGUGUCGAUCCGAAUCGUCAUAACAAUCUGGUCGCUCGUCGAGCAUGAAUCGUGCGAUUGUGGAAGACCGACAAACGUGCACGUAUACAAACGAAGUAUCGAAGUGCGAGAAGUUGCCCGGCACUUGACGCCACGUUCACGCCGUUCGUCAGCGAACGACGGCACGCUAACCGUCCGCGACUCGCGUUGCGUACUGGGAAGUACGAGGUAUCAAGACUACGUGAACACGAACAAUGGGCGACGGCAGUCAUUCAUAACGAUCCAGUGAAUCUCUUGGUGUCGCGGGGCUCGCAAAUUUCACGUCGGUCUUGUGUCGUUCCGUCUUGACCGUCAAAAGGGAAAUCUGACGAGCGUAUAUGAAGAGGAACGCAUUCAUCGGGAUUGCUAUGAAACCGUGAGACUGGGCAAAUUGCGUGAUCGUUACAUCACACGUGAUAUAUGUAUACGAAUUACCGGUCGAUCGCAGCCCACGGAUGCAGGAGUUUCGAAGGCGGGAAACGGUGGACGCAGCAACUAUUCUCGAAUAUACUACUUGGCCAAACAACAGUAGCAGCAACACUGGUAUUCGGUCUCAACGAAACGUUUUGGGAACGUAGUAAUUCUUCGCGUAACCGGGCGUUUUACAUUGAAACUGCUGGUUUUGCCAGGAGGCAGCCACCGUUUCCGAUUGCAGAGCCUUGCCAAAGCUCAGCAGUCAACUACGAUGAUAUAUAGAUAUAUGCAUACGAGAUGAUAUCGCGAGCGGGAUAUUUCGAAGUUUUAUUUGAUUCCCGGCAACGCGGAAACACGAAUACGUCACUCGAAAAUGUAACGAAGACAUUUACUUUUGUAUCUCUGUAUACAACGGUUAGAGUAAUUGCUCGAUCGUUAGAAAUAAAUUAUAAUCAAAAAUGCUAAGCUUGAAUAGACAGUUUUAAUUCUGUUGUUUUUUUACGCUUGCCAAUAUCGAUAUAAACAUAAAAAAAUUCAGUAUUAAUUAUUUUAUCUAUCCUUAAUCUAUCUAUGUUUUCGAGAAUACGUUAUGCGAAAUUGUUUUAAAAUAAUCACUAAAUUUUUAAUUAGAUCAAAGUUUGUUCUCUUUGUUGAGAAAAUUGUUAAACCAAUUUCAAAUUCAUCAGCGGAAAUGUAUCUUUUCUUACUUUCUUUACACAUUCUCCAAUAUAUCCUGCUUUUUCAUAUUUAUUCGACUGCUUGUCUCAAAACAAGGCGAAGCAAUAGAGAGUUAAGCAAAUUCCUGGCGUAAAACUGUCGGGACGAGCUACAUUUCGAGGAAACGAGCCGGCUGCCAACUCUAAAUAAACCAAGAGAGGAAAAAGGAAUAGGGAAAUCGAGAUAUAUCCAAGACCAACGCCUAUGGUCGAGCUUAAUUAUUUCGCUCGCGCGACGGUGGCAGAUUAGAAUAAAGCUCACUUUGCGGCGAAAAGACUUCGCUUCGAGAGGAGCAAACGCAAUCUGAAGUUGCCAAGUGCGGCUAGGAAAGGGGGUAGAAUGGGGUGGAGGAUUGGCUCUCUCGCUGGUCCCUGCUCGACCAACACGGAUGAAAAAAACUCCGAUGGAGUUCCGGCGCGGCCUCCUCUGGUCUGGCCCCAGGAAGCGGCGAGAAUUUAAUUAAGAAUUUCCGCGGAUGGCGAGGGCACCAUAUUGCUGUGACACACACGCGUCACCCGGCCGCGAAUCACGCGACUUUCUCCCUCUUUCCCGUAGCCACCCCUAAUUAAAUUGAAAGAAAUCUCACUCUGCCGUUUCCUUCUUCUUUCCUCAUUCUGAUAUCUUUCUCGU